rnacentral:rRNA from 1 species
AUGGAGCUCAGAUCCGGGCGUCGAGUCCGGCGCUCGCCGCCGCCACGCCGGGCUCGCUCCCGGCGUGGUCCCUCCGGAGGAGCUGAUGACCGCCUCAGCACCCUUCCUGACGACAUGCUCCUCCUGGUCCUCGCGCGCCUGCGCUGCGCUCGCAGCGCCGCGCGCACCGGCAUCCUCUCGCGCCGCUGGCGAGGCCUCUGGACAUGCCUCCCCGAUCUCACCUUCCGGGACGUCGCGCCUAUCAAGAUCGAGGCCGUGCUCGCCCGGUUGGCUUCUUCACCUACGGUGCCCGCCACCCUCGACAUCGACAUCCAUCCGACCCACUGCGCCGACGGUGCUCGCUUGGCCUGCCUCCUCGACGCCGUCGUGAUGUUCUCGCCGCGGGAGCUCCGCAUCAGUUACCAAUUUGACAGCGACAUGGAAGCGGUGGACCUGCACCCGCCCUGCUUCCCGCGAGCUACGUCACUCGAGAUCCACUGGGGCGCCAAUAUCUGCUUCACACCGCUGCCGUCAGGCGAGUUCUCAGCGCUCGAGAGGCUGUCCCUCGGGGGCGCCAGCGUCAUCGGUAUUGACACCCUUAUCACCCGCUGCCCGUGCCUGCGCAUGCUCACAGUCAUCAUGCCUACAUCUGGCAUCAAGGUCCACUCGGUGUCACUGCAGACACUUGAUGUCUUUAGUGACGAAGAGGUAUGUAUCAGUAGCAUCGACAUUGUGACACCCAAGCUUAAGCAGUUGGAAUUGAUAUUCGACACCGACACGGACCUCAGCGUGUCCAUCUCGGCGCCAAUGGUGGAGGAGGUCAUGUGGAGCCGCGGUUUUACAGAGACGACUCUUCUGUUUGGUUUUUGGCUUCUCGGGCACAUGGCCUUAAUGCCAGCAUACCGCUUUGGUGACGGUUACUACUGGCGAGAGGAAGACACGCGUUCGGUGCAUGUCCUCUAUUUGGUGAUAUCGUCCACUGAUCAAUUGGAGUUUGAUCUAGACAUGGCACACGAGGUGGAGUUUGCGCAGGAGAUGAAGAAGCUUCCAGUAAUCAACUUCUCUGUGCUCAAGCUAUUAAUUGAAACGCAUGGGCAUGUUUUCGGAGCACUUGUACAGCGUCUCCUAGGAUUGGAUCAGAUUUGUGCCGUUAUGAAAAGGCUUCUUGUUACAGCAAGUUCCAUCUUGGGGAGACGAGCAUGCCAGGAAGAUUGUCCUUGUGACGAGCCAAAGAAUUGGAGAUGCCAAAGUCUCUCGUUGACCCGUCUUGAAGAAGUGCACAUCGUCGGCUUCACUGGAGAAGAUCAUGGACAUGAUUUCUUAAAAAUGAUAUUCAGAUCGUCACCAAUGCUUAACAGAGUGACUCUGCAACUGGCAUAUAACUUUGGAGGUUGCACCAAGAAAAUCUACAACACUUUCUUGGCGUAUCCUGAUGUGAAGGGCUAUGUCUAUUUCAACUCCGGUGAACUGGUUCCACCACCAUCUGAUUAG